rnacentral:lncRNA from 1 species
AAGACUAGAGUGGUGAUCGCCUCAGAGGUCUGGGAGGGUUAACCGAGUUCAUAUCUUUAAAGAAGGGAGGACAAUGCUGGUCCAAGCAGAAGCUGAGUAAAUGUUAGCCACUGUUACAGGUCAGAGGAGAGCUGGGGGGCCAGGCCGUGGCCUCCUCAGGCCCUAGGCCCUGAAUUGGAGCUGUGUCCAAACCCAAGUGUGAUGAGAGGUGACCAGUUGUCCGGGCUCCCCGUGCUGGGGCGGGAGGAGGUAACCAUGGCAACACCUGUCGGUUAUCAGCCGUUGUUUCUUUGGAGCUCCCAAUUCAUCAGGAGAGUUGGAAGAAUGAAAGUUAAGGCCUGAGGGAAAAUUGCAUGUUUAGAGGAUCUUAGAGACAAGGAAGAGAGAUUUCGUGAAUCAGAAUCUCUGAGAUGGGUGGAGAUGAAACGGGCUUGCCUGGUGUGAAAGAUCCAGGACAUUCAGGGCUUAUUGCUUACAGAGUGCUUUCACAAGCACUGUUCAUUGGAUGCUCACAACAGUCUUGAGAGUUGUGGGUCCUUCUGGCUGUGGCAUGUGGGACGCUGCCUCAGCGCGGCCACUGAGCGGCACCAUGUUCUCGCUGAGGACUCGAACCGGCGAAACCCCGGGCCGCCUGCAGCGGAGCCCAGGAACUUAACCACUCGGCCACAGGGCCGGCGCCAGAGUUAAAUUUUUUAUAAUAUUACUACUAUUGUCUUUUAAUAAAAGUAUAAUUUGCUUAUUUCAAC